UGGCGCGGUAGCCGAGCGUUUUCGCCGCCGCGUCGUUUUCGUCGACGGGCGGUGCGGCGGCGAAUGCGCGCGUGCCGGCCGCGAGCGCGGC
rnacentral:tRNA from 1 species